rfam:Oryza glumipatula chromosome 2, whole genome shotgun sequence.
UUUAAGUGUAUUUUUUGGGUUUCUGUGCCCAACAUUUGGCUGUCCGUCUUAUUUGAAUUUUUUUUAUGAUUAGCAAUCUUAUUGUUAUUAGAUGAUAAAACAUGAAUAAUACUUUAUCUGUGACUUUUUUUUAACUUUCUCAUAAAAUUUUCAAAUAAGACGAACAAUCAAACGUUGAAAACAGAAACCCAUAACUGCACUUAAA